rnacentral:rRNA from 1 species
AUUGAACGCUGGCGGCAGGCCUAACACAUGCAAGUCGAGCGAGCGGCGGACGGGUGAGUAAUGUCUGGGAAACUGCCUGAUGGAGGGGGAUCACUACUGGCAACGGUAGCUAAUACCGCAUACCAUCAGAUGUGCCCAGCUGGUAUUAGCUAGUAGGGGGGGUAAAGGCUCACCUAGGCGACGAUCCCUAGCUGGUCGGAGAGGAUGACCAGCCACUCUGGAACUGAGACACGGUCCAGACUCCGACGGGAGGCAGCAGUGGGGAAUAUUGCACAAUGGGCGCAAGCCUGAUGCAGCCAUGCCGCGUGUGUGAAGAAGGCCUGCGGGUUGUAAAGCACUUUCAGCGGGGAGGCGUUACUCGCAGAAGAAGCACCGGCUAACUCCGUGCCAGCCGCCGCGGUAAUUC